UCGCUCUCCUACACCUCUUCAUUCAGGUCUCUCUCCCCCAUCCUCCUCUCUAUCUACCUAGAUUCCCUUCAUGAACCAGCUCGGGAAUAAGCAAUAUAAUGAUGUUUAUAUAUUUUGGUAUUUCCUCUGUAGAGAUGGACGGAUUUGUGUAUUUCCCCUGUAGAGAUGGACGAGGGUGCCGAGGCAAGAUGGUUCCAUGUGCACUAUGUGCUUCUAAGAAGAGAUAUGGAGGACCAGUUUUUCCCUGUAAUUCUUUCACUACAACUGAUGUCGGGAUUGGUAUUCUUGCAAUCUUACCUGAAGGGACUGCACGUACAUGGCCAAGGAUAGGGGACUCAUCAUGUUUGGUUGUGGGGACUCAUCAUGGUAUCUUGAGGGAAAAGGUUUAGAAAUCCAUUAAAACUGAAUCUUAGGU